UACGAAGGGGGCUAGCGUUGCUCGGAAUCACUGGGCGUAAAGCGCACGUAGGCGGCUUUUUAAGUCAGGGGUGAAAUCCUGGAGCUCAACUCCAGAACUGCCUUUGAUACUGGGAAGCUUGAGUCCGGGAGAGGUGAGUGGAACUCCGAGUGUAGAGGUGAAAUUCGUGGAUAUUCGGAAGAACACCAGUGGCGAAGGCGGCUCACUGGCCCGGUACUGACGCUGAGGUGCGAAAGCGUGGGGAGCAAACAGG
rnacentral:rRNA from 1 species